UACAGAGGUCUCAACCGUUGUUCGGAUUCAUUGGGCGUAAAGGGUGCGUAGGCGAUCGGGUAAGUCGGAUGUGAAAUCCCAGGGCUCAACCCUGGAACUGCAUUCGAUACUGCCUGGCUAGGGUACUGGAGAGGAGACUGGAAUUUACGGUGUAGCAGUGAAAUGCGUAGAUAUCGUAAGGAAGACCAGUGGCGAAGGCGAGUCUCUGGACAGUUACCGACGCUGAGGCACGAAGGUCAGGGGAGCAAACGGG
rnacentral:rRNA from 1 species